rnacentral:rRNA from 1 species
UGGGGAAUAUUGCACAAUGGGGGAAACCCUGAUGCAGCGACGCCGCGUGAGCGAAGAAGGCUUUCGAGUCGUAAAGCUCUGUCCUAUGAGAAGAUAAUGUCGGUAUCAUAGGAGGAAGCCCUGGCUAAAUACGUGCCAGCAGCCGCGGUAAUACGUAUGGGGCGAGCGUUGUCCGGUAUUAUUGGGCGUAAAGGGUACGUAGGUGGUUUUUUAAGUCAGGUGUCAAAGCGUGGAGCUUAACUCCAUUAAGCACUUGAAACUGAAAGACUUGAGUGAAGGAGAGGAAAGUGGAAUUCCUAGUGUAGCGGUGAAAUGCGUAGAUAUUAGGAAGAAUACCGGUGGCGAAGGCGACUUACUGGACUUUUACUGAAGCUAAGGUACGAAAGCGUGGGGAGCAAAGAGG